rnacentral:lncRNA from 1 species
ACAGGAUUCACUCCAUAAACCUCUCUGUGGUCUUGAAGCCUUGCCUACCCCACCAACCCAAUUGGAAGCUACAGACUUCCCCUUGCUAAGGCCAUCAUUCCUCCUCUGUACUGAGCAUCCCUGUGGACCACAGCAGAAACAUGAAGAUGGAGAGUUGGGGUUAAGGUAGAGCAUGGGAAGUAACUGGUGGAUGGGUGAGAAGACAUCCUUCCUGCUGGCUAACACUAUGGUCUUCUCAGAAUCCCCUGCUGCACUCAGUGGUUGGGACCAAAGGACAAAUUAUGGCGGGAGAAGGCAGGGUUGAGGGAACAAAGCAGAAGGCAGGACCAAAAGAAUAACCAAGGAAUAGGCCAGAGCUCUGGAAAACCUUAUUGCUCAAGCAGAGUUCAGCUGCAGUAGGAAACCAAACAGUCCAGCGCUUGGAGAUAUUUCACUGAGAAGUGGCCACUUGCAGUUCUAUGAUUCAACACAUUGGAUUGCUGCAUGGAGAUCAAGCAGUUCCCAAUAAGGAGGGAUCUCUGAGCAUCUGCUAGAUGAAGAAUUUCACUUUCUGGGCUCAUUAGAAUUUGACCCCUCUGAUUAAAUGAAGGCUUGCAAAAGAUACUUGAAUAAGGAACAUAGCAAAUGUCUGCACGAAUAACUCGUGGGAGGCCUAAACUGUUCUUUGCAGAAAGCAUGACAUUUUCUGCUUUUUGUUCAUGCACUGGGACAAAAUAUACUUCCAUCUUUCUAAAACAAAAGAAGUGCAUUCUCUCCCCUCCUCCACCACCAAAUUGAUCAGGGCUGCAUCUGAUUUCUGAAAAUUCAACACUGCUAUCCAUGACCAGCAGUUCAAACAAGAUUUGCCAGCAGUAUCAUGCAAAAUGGCCUAGUGAUUAGUAUACAAUAAGUCUGUCGCUGAUAGCUAUUUGUAAGCUAAAAGCAUCCAAGCAGAAACAGCCCCAAUGAUUGGUGUCAGAUAAACUAUUCAGCAUCCAGUUGUUCUGGGAACAGCAUGGCGUCCCUGAAAAUUAGCUGUGCCUUUCUAAACACACACACACACACACAAAGAUGAAGAAAGCAAU